rnacentral:lncRNA from 1 species
GCAUUGUUAAAGUAGGAAUUUAUUUUGAUGAAUUUUUUUAAAACCCAAUGUUUUUCUUUUUGAGUAACGGUUCGUUUUGAUUCAUAAUAGGCUUAGAAGACCAAAAUAAAAGAACACAAAAUAUCUAAAGCAAAGCCUAUAAUGUUUCAACAGAACAGAAAAAGAAAACAAAACCCAACGUAAUCCAAAAACAACUUCCAGUCCCUUCGGUUACCAGCUAUUACAAAACGGCCAAAUCCUCCAAAAUCCGGUGAUCUGAACAACCAGACAAGAAGGGGGUUGAGUUUUACUUAUGGCGUGUGAAAAUUCUCAACCCGGAAUUUUAAAGAGCAGAAGAAAAGGCUAUGGUGGUCAAUUGAAACGUUGGUCAGAAUCUGCCGUUUCCAAAGUUGGUACUGGAGCGUCUUCAACCCAGAAAAAGUCUUCAAAUCUUUUCAACCCUUCGACUGCCAUUGCAUGCGCCGCAAAGUUCCCGUCUCUUGCAAUAAAUUCAAAUCUGCAUGAGGAAAAAUUCCUUGUUAGAGCCUUCGCAUCCCAGGUAAGGGGUUUAAUCUCCGAAUAAUCUUCUUUUGACAAUUGGAGAAUUUGAAUAACUAGUUUAGUAGUGGCAAAUCUAGGGGGCUAGCAGGGGCCCAGCCCCCUAAAAUGUAAAAUUUCUAUUUAGGCCCUUGAGAUUUUUUAAAAAUUUUAAAUUAGUAAAGGUAAAAUUACACUUUGCCCCCCUUAAAAUUAUAAAAAUUCUAUUUAAUCCUUUAAAAAUUAUAAAGAUAUAGACUAUAAAAAAAAUUAAAAUUUCAUCUAAUCCCCCUAAAAAAUUGUUCUAGCUCCGCCCUUAUAGUUUAGAAUUAUUUUCUAGAAUAAUGUUCGAAAAGCUCAUCUUCGGCGCAAACUAUAGCCCAUGAAACCACUGUCGCUUCAGCUAACACCACCAAUCUAGCCAGUUCUAAACCCUGAGCCCAUAAUGAGCCAUUCAUCAUUUCUUAUUAUAAAACCUGAUGCUGCAUGUUGUCUUGCUGCAGAAAAGCCUGUAUCAACAUUAAUUUUGACCCAAUUCGGAGGAGGGGGCACCCAUUUAUUCAAAUAUCUUAGUCUGGGAUGCUAUAAAAUUGAUGAUAUCCACCGAAACUCCCUACCAAAGCCCCUGAUAAAGGCAACCACUCCUUCUAUGCUUUGCAUCUUUUGUUCAUGAACGAAUUUGUUGCGAGAAAACCCAAGUGGCCAAAUUGUAAUUGCAAUUUCAUCUUUCUUGUCACUAGCUGAAUUUUCAAAGAGCCAGUUUAACCAAUUAGUAAAACACAUAACUGCUACUGAAUUCGACCACAGAUAAUUUAGGGUCUGUUUGAUUGAAUGAAUUGAUUUUCCGAAAAAUCAUUUCCAACUUUUCCAGCGUUUGAUUGGCGGAAAACAUUUUCCAUUUGGAAAAUGAACUCCAAAACAAGGGAAAAUGGGUUACAUUUUAGGGAAAAUGUCUUACCCUUUCAAUUUCCGUAAGACAUUUUCCGUGCUCUCCUCUCUAUCGCCUCCUUCAUUCCUUCCUUCAUUUCCGGUAGAAAAUUGCUUCUGUUUAUCGAUUUUCCAGUAACUUGUUUUUUUAAUUAUUCAAUACUUGUUUUUUUAACACAAUUACAAAUAAUUUAUUUGAUAUUAAUUUUUUUCAAUUUAUAACGAUUAAUAUUGUAGCUUAAUAAUUGAGUAUUAUUAUAAAUAAAUCAUUGCAAUAUAUGUAAAAAUAAUUUAAAAUAUAAAAAUUUAUUAAUAUAUAUCAAUAUAUGUAAAAACAAUUUUUUCGAAAAAUAUUUCCAGGAAAUCUGCCAAACAGCCGAAAAUAUUUUACACAGAUUCAAUCAAACAACAGAAAAUAUUUUCCAGUAAACCAUUUUACAGAAAAGUAAAACAUUUUUCCGAAAUUAUUUUACGGAAAAUAUUUUACUGGCAAUCAAACAGACCCUUAAUUUGAACCAAACUUGCAAAGCAAACGUGCAAUCACGAACAACAUGGGUAGAAGAUUCACUACAACCCUAACAACGCGGACAUUUAUUAUCUGUCAUUAUUCUUCUAAAAUGUUAAUUCUGAAAUGUGGGAAUAUAAUUUUUCGCAAAUUUCCAUACUAAAAUGCGAUAUUUUUUAUGGACAUGCUAAACUCCAAAUUUGCUUAAAAGUAUAUUUCUCUGCUAAACUCAAAUUUAGAAGGCUCAAUGAGAAUUUUAUAUUCGCUUUUUACUAAAUAGAUGCUCAAAUUUUCACUAGACCAUACUACCUUAUCAGAUUGAUUAGUAAUAGGUAGAGGAAUACUCACAAUUAAAUUUCCUUCUUCUUCCAUGAAUGUUGAGUAGAUUAAUUCGCUGUUCCAUCUAUUUGGAUUAUAUAGAAUCAGAUCACUGACACACUCCAUGCCUGUUACCCUAUUCGUAGUAAUUAGGAUUCUAUUUUUUUCCCAGUAACCAAUAGUCCUGCCAGAUUGAUACAGAACUCCCCGACCUUAUCCUCCAUCUCAGCCUAGAUUUUAACAAACCUUUAGCGCAUCAAAUGCUUCUCCACACAAGCGAUGGAUUUGCACCCAAAGAGGCCUCCAGAAAAUUUAACCCGUUGCAAUAUUUCGCACAGAUCAAUUGAGCUGUUAAUGAUCCAGGAUUUUCCAGCAAUCUCCAACCUUGUUUUGCUAAUAAAGCAAUAUUGAAUUUGGAUAAGUCACGGAACCCCAUCUAGAACACCAAUGCAAACCAUUCCUCCCUAUUUUCUUUUGUCACCAAAAUUUAGGAAUAACAAAUUCUAGAUCCUUGCAAAAAGAUGUUGGAAGUAGGAAACAAGCCAUUACAUACAUAGGGAUGGCUUGCAAAAUAACUUUGAUUAACACUUUCCUCCCAGCCACCGAAAGCAUUAUCAAACUCCAGCUAGAAACCCUUUUAAUCAACUUUUCUUUUAUCUCCCUAAAAGCCUCAUUUUUGUUUUACCCUACAAUUGAAGAAAGGCCAAGAUGGGUUGAUACUUGAGUUGACCUCCAAGAUUCAACAAACCUUUUCUUUACUAUUCUGUUUAACAUUAGAGCUAAAAAGCACUCCAGAUUUAUCAAAUUUUAUUACUUGACCAGAACUAUGAGCAUAAAUCUCCAAAUUAUCUUUAAGUGCCUUAGCCCCAUCAGAUGUUGUAUCUUCGAAAAUAAGACUAUCAUCUGGAAAAAAUGAGUGAUAAGAGAACUAUGAGCAUAGUAUUGAACUUACUUAUAUUGAAUUGUACGUGAAUUAAAUGGAAAUUGCUAGUGAUAUGAUUUGAAUUGUGAGCAUGAGAAAUUGUGAACUAAAUGAAAUGGAAAUGAAGCAUUGAAUUGCAUGGGUAUGUAUCGGGUCUCGUAGGCCCUAUUUAUUAUGAAUAUAAUAUUUUGAGGAUAUAUUGUGAAAAAUUAUAAAAGCAUGUUAAAAAAUUUGAAAGUUUUAAUUUAGAUGAAAUUUUAUAAUACGAUUAAAUACGUUUACAAGCGUUUGUGUUCUGGUAAUGCCUCGUACCCUAUUCUGGUGUCGAAUACGGGUAAGGGGUGUUACAUUUAGUGGUAUUAGAGCUAUGGUUUAGUCGAUUCUCGGACUAACAUAGCGUAUAUGUGUUUAGCUAUACAUUUCAUAUUAUUACCAGAAGGAAAAAAUAAUUUUGAGAAAAUUUCAUUCAAAAAUUUCGUCGUUUAGACACUCAAUUUAGUCAAAAGGACUAGAUUGUAAAAAGUGCAAAAGUUGAGAUCUACAUGUUAGAAGUGUCUAAUUUUUAUGAAAUUUUAAAUUAGAGGUCCUUAUAUGGUAAUUAGACCAUUGGUUAAGUUGGUGGACAAAAAUGGACAUGGUUAGGCAUGUUUCCAAAGUUUUUCAUUAAGGGUAUUUUGGUCAUUUAGUUAUUAAAAUGAAUUAAAAACAAAAUUAAAAGCCAAUUUUUGUCCAUCUUCAACCCCUAGGCCAAAAAUUACAUGGAGAAACCAUGGAUAGGGUUUUUCAAGCUUCCAAGCUCGAUUGUAAGUCCGUUCUAGCCCCGUUUUUUAAUGAUUUUUACGUUUUUAAAAUCCUCGUAACAAGAUUUACCCAUUUUUACCAUUAUUUUGAACUAGGGUUUGUGUUUAAAAAUUUACCCAUGAAUUAUAUGCAUGUAUUUUGAUGUUUUAUGGAAUAAUAUGAAUGUUUAGAGUGUGAUGAACGUCUUUUACUAAGUGAUUUUCGAUCAAAAUGCCUAAAAGGAUUAAUUUGUAAAAGUUAUAAAAUAUGUCACAAGUGUGUGAAUAAGUGAGAAUUGUGGAGUGCUAUAGUUGUGAAAAUGGUUCGGCUAGGCCUAAAAUGCAAGGAAAUUGAAUAAAAAUUAUUUUACGAGGCUAAGGGUAAAAUUGUAAUUUUGUGAAACUUUAGGGGCAAAAAUGUAAUUUUUCCAAAGUAUGAUUUUUGUACUAAAUUGAAUAAUGCGAGGUUAAGUAAGUUAAAUGUGUUAUUAUAAAUCAAGAAAGACGAGAAAUUGGCUUAGAUCAGUGAAAAAGAAAAGUGAGAAAUUUCCCAGUUGAACCUCCGGAAUAGAAAAGAUACGAAUAAAGUGACAAUAAUGAUCACAUGUGUGGCAUGGGCUGUGUGCAGGCCACUGUGUGAAAGAGAUAGUAAUGGUCACGUGUGUAGUACUAUGUGCAGGCUACUACGUCUACCGGGUACCAGUGAUUAUAAAGGUGGUUGUUGUGUGCUGAUUCCACCGGGUAUCAUUGAUUAUAAAGGUGGUUGCUGUAUGCUGGUUCCACCGGGUACUAUUGAUUAUGAAGGUCAUUGCUAUGUUCUGAUUCCACCGAGUAUCAUUGACUAUAAGGAUGGUGCUAUGUUCUGAUCCACCGUGUAUCUGUUAUUAUUCCGAAGUGUUCAUUAGGAAAUUGACUAAGUGAAAAUACAUGAGAUCAUGUAAUGACUAAGUGUAAUUGAAUAUGACUAUGUGAUGAAUGAGUGCAGGUAUAAGUGUGAAACUUUAUGAACAAUGUGCUUGAUCUUUGAUCAGACCAUCGGUAAGAUGCAGUGGAGUAAGUGAAAUUAUGAAAAAGUAAAUUUAGCAAUAAAACAGUUUUGGAC